AGCGGCGGACGGGUUAGUAACGCGUGGGAAUAUGCCCAAAGGUACGGAAUAGCCUCUGGAAACGGAGAGUAAUACCGUAUGUGCCCUUCGGGGGAAAGAUUUAUCGCCUUUGGAUUAGCCCGCGUUGGAUUAGGUAGUUGGUGGGGUAAUGGCCUACCAAGCCUACGAUCCAUAGCUGGUUUGAGAGGAUGAUCAGCAACACUGGGACUGAGACACGGCCCAGACUCCUACGGGAGGCAGCAGUAGGGAAUCUUAGACAAUGGGCGAAAGCCUGAUCUAGCCAUGCCGCGUGAGUGAAGAAGGCCCUAGGGUCGUAAAGCUCUUUCGCCAGGGAUGAUAAUGACAGUACCUGGUAAAGAAACCCCGGCUAACUCCGUGCCAGCAGCCGCGGUAAUACGGAGGGGGUUAGCGUUGUUCGGAAUUACUGGGCGUAAAGCGUACGUAGGCGGAUUAGUCAGUCAGAGGUGAAAUCCCACGGCUCAACCCUGGAACUGCCUUUGAUACUGCUAGUCUUGAGUUCGAGAGAGGUGAGUGGAAUUCCAAGUGUAGAGGUGAAAUUCGUAGAUAUUUGGAGGGACACCAGUGCGAGCGCUCACUGGCUCGAUACUGACGCUGAGUACGAAGUGGUGGGGAGCAACGGAUAGAACCUGUAAGUCCACACCGA
rnacentral:rRNA from 1 species